UACGUAGGGGGCAAGCGUUGUCCGGAAUCAUUGGGCGUAAAGCGCGCGUAGGCGGUCCGGUAAGUCGGCUGUGAAAGUCCAGGGCUCAACCCUGGGAUGCCGGUCGAUACUGCCGGACUAGAGUUCGGAAGAGGCGAGUGGAAUUCCCGGUGUAGCGGUGAAAUGCGCAGAUAUCGGGAGGAACACCAAUGGCGAAGGCAGCUCGCUGGGACGUUACUGACGCUGAGACGCGAAAGCGUGGGGAGCAAACAGG
rnacentral:rRNA from 1 species